rnacentral:rRNA from 1 species
UACGGGGGGAGCAAGCGUUGUUCGGAUUUACUGGGCGUAAAGGGCGCGUAGGCGGCCAGCACAAGUCAGUUGUGAAAUCUCCGAGCUUAACUCGGAAAGGUCAACUGAUACUGUGCGGCUAGAGUGCGGAAGGGGCAACUGGAAUUCUCGGUGUAGCGGUGAAAUGCGUAGAUAUCGAGAGGAACACCUGCGGCGAAGGCGGGUUGCUGGGCUGACACUGACGCUGAAGCGCGAAAGCUAGGGGAGCGAACGGG